rfam:Salmo salar isolate Sally breed double haploid chromosome ssa21, whole genome shotgun sequence.
UGCAUUCACUACUGUAAGUCGCUCUGGAUAAGAGCGUCUGCUAAAUGUAAAUUU